rnacentral:rRNA from 1 species
ACACAUGCAAGUCGAGCGGUAGAGAGGAGCUUGCUUCUCUUGAGAGCGGCGGACGGGUGAGUAAUGCCUAGGAAUCUGCCUAGUGGUGGGGGAUAACGUUCGGAAACGGACGCUAAUACCGCAUACGUCCUACGGGAGAAAGCGGGGGACCUUCGGGCCUCGCGCCAUUAGAUGAGCCUAGGUCGGAUUAGCUAGUUGGUGAGGUAACGGCUCACCAAGGCGACGAUCCGUAACUGGUCUGAGAGGAUGAUCAGUCACACUGGAACUGAGACACGGUCCAGACUCCUACGGGAGGCAGCAGUGGGGAAUAUUGGACAAUGGGCGAAAGCCUGAUCCAGCCAUGCCGCGUGUGUGAAGAAGGUCUUCGGAUUGUAAAGCACUUUAAGUUGGGAGGAAGGGUAGUAACUUAAUACGUUGCUAUUUUGACGUUACCGACAGAAUAAGCACCGGCUAACUCUGUGCCAGCAGCCGCGGUAAUACAGAGGGUGCAAGCGUUAAUCGGAAUUACUGGGCGUAAAGCGCGCGUAGGUGGUUUGUUAAGUUGGAUGUGAAAGCCCCGGGCUCAACCUGGGAACUGCAUCCAAAACUGGCAAGCUAGAGUACGGUAGAGGGUGGUGGAAUUUCCUGUGUAGCGGUGAA